AUGAAGUUUGCGGGAGAGUGGCUUAAUAGCCCGCCGAAGGAGUAAAACUCUCAGGCACUCGGACCACCGAGUAGAA
rnacentral:ncRNA from 2 species